UCUGCUGUACUUAGCCAGGCCUGGGAUGCUGCCAGCUCCCUUGUGUUGUGUUGUGAUAGUAUGAACUGCUGACGCACGGCAGCGUGUUUAGCACGUUCCAGCCUGCCAUGGCAGCCUGUCCCUGGUUCACUGCAGGGUUUUAGCAGGAUGGCGUUUGCUGCUGUGCAUGGUGUGAUAUUUCCAGCGGAGGCUGUCCUGUCGGGCAGUGAGGACAGCUGCCACGAAGGCAGAGAAAUACCUGUUUCAUGACAUUCCCUCUCAGCCCAUGCCCUGCCACUGGGUCCUAGCUUCUACCUAAGCUUUCAGCUUCAAAUACACAACUCAUGUCUCAUGUGUCUCCUUCAGAAUGGUGGGCUUUUACUGAUUGACCAGCAGCCCUAAAGCACAAGAACAAAGCAAU